AUUGAAUUUAAUUCAGGAUUAAAUGUUAUAUUGUAUAAUUUAAUUUAUAUUUUAUAUUUUAAUCUAAAAUUAAUAAGGAUAAGCUUAUUAAUUAAUUUAUAAUCUUAAUUUUGUUUAAAUUUUGUAGGAUUAAAAAUUUCCAUCAUUUAUUUUGUUAUAAUUAAUUUUAAUUUAUAUUUUAUUUUAGUUAGGUUUAAAUUUUUAUUAAAAAUAAUUAUUUAAUAAAAUAAAUAAUUGUUAUAAUGAUAAAAUUAGUAAUUAAUAUAAUUAAUAUAUAGUAAUUCGGCAAAAUUAUCCUUCACCUGUUUAACAAAAACAUGUUCUAAUGUUUAAUUUUAUUAGAUUUGACCUGCUCAAUGAUAUUAAUUAAAUAGCCGCAGUAUUUUGACUGUGCGAAGGUAGCAUAAUCAAUUGUCUUUUAAUUGAAGGCUUGUAUGAAAGGUCGGAUGAGGGGAUAACUUUCUUUAUAUUAAAUAUUGAAUUUAAUUUUUAAGUUAAAAAGCUUAAAUUUUUAAAAGGGACGAGAAGACCCUAUAGAAUUUUAUAUUAUUUAUAAAUUAAUUAUUUUGGUUAGUCUUAAAUAAUUUUAUAAAUAAUAUUUUGUUGGGGUGACAGUGAGAUUUAUUAAACUCUUAUAAUUUAUAUUAUUGUUGAUUAACAUAUUUAUGAUCCUGAUUAUGGAUAAUUAGAU
rnacentral:rRNA from 1 species